AGAGUUUGAUCCUGGCUCAGGACGAACGCUGGCGGCGUGCUUAACACAUGCAAGUCGAACGGAAAGGCCCUUCGGGGUACUCGAGUGGCGAACGGGUGAGUAACACGUGGGUGAUCUGCCCUGCACUUUGGGAUAAGCCUGGGAAACUGGGUCUAAUACCGAAUAGGACCACGCGCUUCAUGGUGUGUGGUGGAAAGCUUUUGCGGUGUGGGAUGGGCCCGCGGCCUAUCAGCUUGUUGGUGGGGUAAUGGCCUACCAAGGCGACGACGGGUAGCCGGCCUGAGAGGGUGACCGGCCACACUGGGACUGAGAUACGGCCCAGACUCCUACGGGAGGCAGCAGUGGGGAAUAUUGCACAAUGGGCGCAAGCCUGAUGCAGCGACGCCGCGUGAGGGAUGACGGCCUUCGGGUUGUAAACCUCUUUCAAUAGGGAUGAAGCGCAAGUGACGGUACCUAUAGAAGAAGCACCGGCCAACUACGUGCCAGCAGCCGCGGUAAUACGUAGGGUGCGAGCGUUGUCCGGAAUUACUGGGCGUAAAGAGCUCGUAGGUGGUUUGUCGCGUUGUUCGUGAAAACUCACAGCUUAACUGUGGGCGUGCGGGCGAUACGGGCAGACUAGAGUACUGCAGGGGAGACUGGAAUUCCUGGUGUAGCGGUGGAAUGCGCAGAUAUCAGGAGGAACACCGGUGGCGAAGGCGGGUCUCUGGGCAGUAACUGACGCUGAGGAGCGAAAGCGUGGGGAGCGAACAGGAUUAGAUACCCUGGUAGUCCAA
rnacentral:rRNA from 1 species